UGUUUACUACUCCAGACCAAAAAUGCAAUUUAGGAGAAUCAAAAGAGAGAGGAAGAGAGUGGCUGACGGAGAAUGUUUAAACGGCUCCGCCGCCUCCGCCGUGUUAUACCGUCUGACCAGUCAGUCGUCGGUCGUUUAAUAGGUGGAUGGUGGUGAUGUUCGUCGAUCUUUGUUGCGGCGGUCUCCAUUUCUUUCGAUCUGUUUUUUAUAGGACCCGAAAGAUUCGUCAUCGGAAACCCUUAGCGGCUGUGCAUGGCGGUGUGGUCGCCGAUAUGUGUUCUGGUUGGUCUAUGUGGGUAUUCACAUGUUGCAUUCAGCGAUCACCAGUUAUUGGCCUCUGAUUUGGUUAUCAGAAGCUUUAGGGUUUUCAGAUGCGGAGGUGACCGGUAAUCUGCCGCCGUCUCAGGUCUGUUCUUCAAGCCGACGGUAGUCGGCGAUGGUUUUACCAUCGUCGGUGGUAACCGGUUAUCUAAUUGUCUUUUGGGUCAUUAGGGCUGUGAUGAUGACUGACAGUCAUCUGAGCCUCCAUUAUGGGUUUGAGGCCUCCCAUUGUUAAAUAUUACUUAGUACACAUCAUAAAUCACAGUCUAAGGUGCAAGAUUUGAGAAUGUGGAACUGAUAUUGUACAAAGGUUUUUAUAUUCUUGAUUGGAUUUGGUGUUUUGCAAGAUAUGUAUGAAUUUGAUGAGAAAGAUUUUCAUUACAAUACAGGUGUUUGUUUUCGUGGUUUGCUCUGAUUGACCUAUUUGGGCGGUCAUCCCCUUUUAAGACGUGUGUCUUCCAUCCUCACACCUUUGUUCCGAUCGACCUAUUUGAGGUGCGGUGGGUGUUGCCGACCACUGGUCUUCCUCCAGUUGUUGACAGUGGAUGGUGAUGUUGGUCACGGAACUGUAGAAGUCUGUGUUCAUUAUAUCAUGUUGUGGGUCAUUUGCUAGCACCUUAAAAUGUCACAUGAAUUGUGGUCUGGUCGCCAACCACCGCUCCUGGUGGCGGACGGUGAUGAUUGUGUUGGGUGUGUAUAUCAUUCAAGUUGUUUUUCCACUUUGUCAUUAAUUUUCUUAUGGGUUCUGGUUUCUUGGCUGUGAUCUUUUUGUGAGCCUACUAUACCGACAUGAUUAUACUAUAUGUUUAUUGAAUAGUAAAAAAGGGCAUCUUAUUUUUAGGGCUUUUGGUUGCUUGGUUGUGACCUAUAUGUGAGCCUACUGGUAUUUUGCUACAGUUUUGUUGGUUGGCUGUGGUAAUGGGUUCUGCCGCUAGGCUAUGAUGAUCUCAAAAGUCUUUUUGGGUGAUGAUGGUGUGGCAAGGAUGGUGGAUGGUAGGUUAUGACCUGCAACCCACCUUGCAACCAUGAUUUCUGGUAGAUCUGAGCCACGUAGUUUUGCUGUACCUUUUUUUAAACAUGCUUCAACAUGUGUAUUGAUCAUAUUUCUAAAAGGAGAGGGUACAAGUGAAGUGGCUAUAACCACAUUGAAGGACUGUGGGCAAAGAAGCCGGUUAAUAUGUAUUAUUUUAAAAGUUUAAUUUUUAUUAAUAGGAUGUUAAAAGUUCUGUUCAUGAUUGUUGAAAAAAUGUUUUUUGUGAAGUUUGUUUGGAUGGAAGUCCACCUGCAUAACAGCUUGAUGCAGGUUUUGGAGAUGAUGUCAACAACGGGUUGGUUCACAUACAGGUUGGAAUACAUGUGUGUGGAAGAAGUGUUUCUAGAUUGGGGUCUGUUUUCAAAGUGAGAUUAGGUAGGUAGUUCACCGAUUGAUAUAACGGCCAUGAGGGAGAGGUAGGGGUGUCGAAAGCGGACAUCAGGGAGGGUUAAUUGCAAAUUUGCAAUGGACCUCAGAAGUCCACUGGAUGAGACGGUGGGCAUGCUAGAAGUCUGCUGAUGUUGACGGUGGGCUUCAGUUCUGGACUUUUUUGAUGCAGUCGAUCACAGGGAAGUGAUGUUGAUGAAAGACUCAAUUCCGCUGCUAAUCCAUGUGGACUACGAAAGUCCAUGGAACAGAUAUAUUUAUAUAUAACAUUUAUUGAAACAUGUAUCUUUAUUUUAAUGGGUUCUAUUGAUAAACAUUACACUACUCAAACAAAUCUUGAAUUAUCACAAACUGGAGGGUAUUCCAAGACUAAAAAUUUGACAUGGGUGGAUGGUUUUGGUUGGUUAUAUGGCACGAAUGGUUUUUUUUUAACACAGAUGUUUUUUUUAUAGUAUAGAUUUUGUUUUUGUUUGUUUUAUGUUUGGUUUAGGGCUUAUCAUAAAAUGGUAAUUAUUUUGCAUAAAAUGGAAUACAAAGAUAUAGAGAUUUGGACACGGUAAUUAUUUUGACCACUUGUGUGCCGCAAAGCGCGCGCUAGGUUUAAAUCCUAGUAUAUUAAAAAGGAGAAGUGACGUACAAGAUAGUAAUUUUGUCAUACGUAUCAAUUUUAAAGCAAUAUGUACAAGGUGGUUAAAGCCAUGAAAAUUGUAAUUUCCACUAAGUUUAAGACGCCUAAAAGGGUAAUUGUGGGAUUUCAGCAUGAAAUUCUAGAAAACCCAACCAGCUCCCGGUAAAUGAAUCGUCUGGCGUUCAAUUCGUCUUUUCAAUGGAAACAUAACAGCAUUUUAUAGCUCAGGAGAUGAGGGUUAUGGGAGAUACAUGGAGAUAGCACUCAAGAGACGAUACUCAUCCUAGGGCCACCAUAGCCGCAGGCUUCACUUCCGUUUAAUUUUCAUUUUUUCAAUCUCUACAUCCCAUCUUACUCUAUGUAUCUAUUUUUAACCUAAUCAAUCUUUGUUCUUUUUCUAUUUGUAUGGGUUCAAGGACAAUUGUGCUAACUCAGGGUGUUCAGAUCUAGGGUUCUGACAAAAUGGAGAUGGUUACGGGUUCCGGUGGCGAGUGUGUUAAGAUUAGACAACUAUCAGAGGAGGAUCGACCUUCCAACCAUGCUACGGCAAAGAUUCCGGCAACUACGAUGAAUGUUUGUGGCUAACCCGAUUGUGACGUGUUAUUGGUUCGGUUUGUUGCCAACCCGAAUCUUUAUGUCCAGUUGGAGUUCGUAGCUAGGGCCGUCUUCUCAGCAACCGUGGUUCAUGACUAAUACGCCGUUAUUGUUGUGCCUGAUGUAAGUAUCCGUGCAUAAGAAUACAAGCCAUGGAGAUUAUCAAACAAAAGAACAAUGUGCAGACGUUUUCCAGUAUAUUCUUCCAUACGCUAAGGCUUCUUCUGUAAGCCUUUCAUAAAUCAUAAUCAGUUGAGAGAUGACGAGAUGAGCAAAAGGCAUAGCAUCGCGGCGUCCUCUGUGAGAGAUGACGAGAGUAUGGACAGUUCGCCGUCGGUUCCGAGUUCCUAUUUUACCGCACUAUUGUGUGCAUAGUCAUUGCUAGAAUGGCUUUAUAGUAUGUAUUUCAGCAUCUGUGUUAAACUUAAAAACGACAGUCGAGGUGGCGGUUGUGGAGGAAGUCGUGGCGGUGGUCGAGUUGCAGUCGAGGCGGAGGUGGAGGCGGUGGAGAAGGCGGAGCUUUGUCGACUCUACUGCAACACUUACGAGGUUCUUGAAAAUCAUAAAAAUGGGAAAAAACAUGAACAGAAUAUGGAAAUACAGGAAGAAUUACAGCGGCUUGUGGGAAAAACACAAAUGUCGGUUCCCAUGGAGAGCCGGAAGUCAAAGUCGAAAGUCAAAUGAUGCAGGCUGAAGGACAAGGGAAUAGUUUAAAGAGAAAAAUGAGAGAGGAAAUACUAACCAAUUAUUAUUGCAAUGUUCUUGACAUCAGUCGUAAGGAAUCGAGAUGGUGAAGUCCCGUUAUACCCUUUUCAGAACCAAACAUUUCUCCUUUAAGUGGGAACCCUCAUUUGUUUAGAGUUCAUACGUUCGGGCUGCAGCGGACCUGGCUUUUAUAUAUGGGGAGGUGUGGAUCUUUUUAGCUACAGGAGAGGUUUAUUGACACGUCUUAGUGGAAAGGUGAAAAAAUAAAGUGCAGUAUCAAUUUCAGUGAGCCAACCUUAGGUUAAAAUGCUUAGUAUGUGCUCUGAAGAGAGUCCCUUGUUCUGGAUGCUUAGUGAGUUGGUGAAGCUAGCAAACCACAACAGUUCAGUGGCCAAUCUUAUUUUUGCAUGUUUGCAUCGCUGAAUAUUUCCAUCGCUUAUUCAACCAUAUUUUUUCUCACGGUAUAUUGUUUUGUAUUAUUAAAGUAUAUUGUUUGAAAAUGGAAUUGGAUUAUAAUAUCUUGGACAAACCUUAUUAGUUUAGAAAGGUUGUAUGUUUUAAAAUCAACACUAGGCCAGUUUUGACCC